rnacentral:lncRNA from 1 species
AGAUGGUUGUAUGCGCGAAGGACAAUACUGAGGCCGACGAGAUUGUACUUGACGGAAUGGGCAGUCAAAUUGGAGAAGCAGUUAGGCAUCAAAGUGAAAAAAAUAGGCAUAAGGUUAGGACCAAAAAUGCGAUUAACCCUAAGGGUGCGUUUGAUUUGAGUUAUCCUAGCAGGAUUACAGGCAAUCCUGUCAGGAUUACUGUGUUUGGUUCAUCCGCUAUGUAAUCUAGUCGUUAACGUAGCAUUACAGAUCGAACAGGAUUACACCGAAAAUAUUAACGAAACGGGGGUUAUAUAUCUUGGAUUAAUGCUACAUAUUAUAUAAAAUGACAAUUUUACCCUCCAACACCCCCAAACCCAAUUAUCAGCAUUGUUCCGCUCUCUCUCUCUCACACCCUCCCCCCUCUCUCUCGCACGCCGCUCUCUCUCGCUCUCUCUCUCGCACGCCGCUCUCUCUCGCUCUUUCCCUCUCUAUCUAUCUCUUUCUCUCUCUUGCACGUCUUUUUUUUUGUAUUAACAACAUCGUCUUUUUAUUAUAUUUCCCUUUUCCUGGAUCUGAUUUGAAAAUGUUAGGAAAAUUUUCAUAUAUUUUUGUGCCCUAAUUAAUCAUGUGUCAGCCUAAAAAUAAAAUGCCUAAUUUGUUGUGUGUAAAUGAUAAUUUUUUAUUUAAUUUAUUAUCGUUUAAUUUUUAUUUUAGUUUUUUAUGUAUAUCUCUCGUCAAUUAUUAUUCAAAUGACCACAAUAAGGAAAAUUUUGAAAAAAACUAUACUUUUAUGUCAGGAUUACUAAAUUUUAUAGACUGAACCAAACGUAAUAAUGAUAUAAACACUACAAUCUAGUAUUACGUUACUGCAUUAAACCAAACGCGCUAAUGCAGCAUCAGUAGUAAUCUCACGCCGAAAUCCAAGAUAUCUAGAAAUGUCAAGAUACUCUUUAAUAUUAUAUAACUCGAACCAAACGGGCCCUAAUAGUUAAAGAUCUGAUCAUUGCGUAAAAAAUAGG